rnacentral:rRNA from 1 species
GAUGAACGCUGGCGGCGUGCCUAAUACAUGCAAGUCGAGCGAACGGACGAGAAGCUUGCUUCUCUGAUGUUAGCGGCGGACGGGUGAGUAACACGUGGAUAACCUACCUAUAAGACUGGGAUAACUUCGGGAAACCGGAGCUAAUACCCGAUAAUAUUUUGAACCGCAUGGUUCAAAAGUGAAAGACGGUCUUGCUGUCACUUAUAGAUGUAUCCGCGCUGCAUUAGCUAGUUGGUAAGGUAACGGCUUACCAAGGCAACGAUGCAUAGCCGACCUGAGAGGGUGAUCGGCCACACUGGAACUGAGACACGGUCCAGACUCCUACGGGAGGCAGCAGUAGGGAAUCUUCCGCAAUGGGCGAAAGCCUGACGGAGCAACGCCGCGUGAGUGAUGAAGGUCUUCGGAUCGUAAAACUCUGUUAUUAGGGAAGAACAUAUGUGUAAGUAACUGUGCACAUCUUGACGGUACCUAAUCAGAAAGCCACGGCUAACUACGUG